CGCGUUAAUGCGUGAUGGCGUGCCUUUUGUAGAAUGAACCGGCGAGUUAUGAUCCCGUGCAAGGUUAAGACUAAAAAGUCGGAGCCGUAGCGAAAGCGAGUCUGAAAUGGGCGUUUUGAGUACGAGGUUAUAGACCCGAAACCAGGUGACCUAUCCAUGUCCAGGUUGAAGGUGCGGUAAAACGCACUGGAGGACCGAACCCGUGUAAGUUGAAAAUUGCUGGGAUG
rnacentral:rRNA from 1 species